rnacentral:rRNA from 1 species
GGGCCGUAGCUUGAUAAUAGGGUCCCUUGAGAAAUCCGCCGGCUUAACUGGCGGGCGUUCAGGGGAAACUUGUUUUCUAGGGACCGGGAGAGGUGAGGGGUACUGCCGGGGUAGGAGUGAAAUCCUGUAAUCCCGGUGGGACCACCUAUGGCGAAGGCAUCUCACCAGAACGGGUCCGACAGUGAGGGACGAAAGCUGGGGGAGCAAACCGGAUUAGAUACCCGGGUAGUCCCAGCUGUAAACUAUGUGCGUUAGGUGUGUCAGUGACCACGUGUCACUGAGGUGCCGAAGGGAAACCGUGAAACGCACCGCCUGGGGAGUACGGUCGCAAGGCUGAAACUUAAAGGAAUUGGCGGGGGAGCACCACAACGGGUGGAGCCUGCGGUUUAAUCGGACUCAACGCCGGGAAUCUCACCGGAUAAGACAGCUGAAUGAUAGUCGGGAUGAAGACUCUACUUGACUAGCUGAGAGGAGGUGCAUGGCCGUCGUCAGUUCGUACUGUGAAGCAUCCUGUUUAGUCAGGCAACGAGCGAGACCCACGCGAGCAGUUGCCAGCUUGACCUUCGGGUUGAUGGGGACACUGCUCGGACCGCCUCUGCUAAAGGGGAGGAAGGACUGGGCAACGGUAGGUCAGCAUGCCCCGAAUUAUCCGGGCUACACGCGGGCUACAAUGGACAGGACAAUGAGUUUCGACACCGAGAGGUGAGGAUAAUCUUCUAACCCUGUCCCAAGUUCGGAUUGCGGGUUGUAACUCACCCGCAUGAAGCUGGAAUCCGUAGUAAUCGCGUUUCAACAUACCGCGGUGAAUAUGUCCCUGCUCCUUGCACUCACCGCCCGUAUCUCUAGAGGAUCCCC